ensembl:lincRNA
AUGUUUGCUAAAGGAGAAGGCCUGGGUGGGCCACACAGUGCGAUGACGUCUUCCGAGUGCGCCUCUGGCCCUUGCGCCCGGACCUGGGCGUCGGAGCCGCUGGGGGGCGCCCGCGAGCCGCUCCUCCUCUUCCACUCUAUAAAGCGACCUGGCGUCCCCAAAAGGAAGGGGCCUGAGCCCACGGAGGCGGGGAUCUCAAGUCUGAACUCCGAUCCCAAGGAACCUGCGGUCCUGGAGGUGGGGUGCAAACUGCGGAAGAGUCCGGGGGUGCUGGGAGCUGGACCUAGGAAUUUCCAGCGCGGCUGUUCGCAAAAUUCCGUGCUGCCCCCGUAUGGCCGAUUAGAAGAUUAAAUUCCAACUUUGCCGUAAAACUAGCUUUUCCAGCCAAAUGUUUUAUAAAAGAGCAAGCACUUGCUAUGCCUAUCAUAAUACUUUUUCCUAACGUAUUGAGUUGGCGCUUCCAAGCCAUGUGAUCAUCAGAGAAACGUAAAGGGACAGAUACGAAGAGACUUACAAAUUUACCAAUAAUUACUGAGAAAUUAAAAACUGCAAUGUCUUUUAGACUCAGUCUUCAGAAUGUGAAAGGUCUGUGGGUCUGGAAUGUUUUCCAGUAUGCAUUUGCUACAGAUCACUGACUCGCCGCAAUUUUUGAAUAAAAUAAUAGCAAACAUUUGCUGAGUAUUGACUUAUCCAUAACGUACAUACAUAAUUUUAUGGUUAAAACAAGGAUAAAGUGGUUUAUAGAUUCAUCUAUACUUUAUGUAGAUGGAUUUAUUUAAUCCUCACUACAACUCCCAACAGUAGAUAGCUUUAUUAUCCUCAUUUCACAUAUAAAGAAACUGAAAUGGAGAGAAAAGUGAGACAUAUACAGUAAGUUUUCAACUUAUGCACAUUCAAGUUGCGAACUUUCACAGAUGGGAAUGGAUCUCGCGUUAUGAGCACUUGGAGGUGUGAACAAAUCGCGAGAGUAGCUCACGUGUCUGUGGACAUGGUCACCGUUGUGCCGCUGUGUGCUUCCUGUACGCUGCCAUGGUGCACAGUAGUACAGUGUUUGGUCAGAGCCCAGAUGUCCGGAAGCUAGAGGAAAAGCAGUGAUGAUGUGGAGGCAAGUGCUGGGCAGUGCAAAGCAGAAACCAUGGACACAAAAGUGAAACUACAGCAUGAAACUCACUUUGUUGGACUUAUGAAUGUUCUCUUGGAGUGGAACUCUUCCAUAGGUGGGACUUACCGUACUCAGUAUAAUAUUAUCCUGCCAGGAAAAACAAAAUCAUGCCGUUUGCAGGAAAAUGAAUAGAGAUCAUGACGGUAAGUGGAAUACACUAGACUCAGAAAAUCAAGCAUCAUAUUUCUUCUCAUAUGAGGAAUGGAGAGUAAGAGAGAACGUGAAGGUAGAAGAGAGACUAUUAGAGGAGAGAAGGAGGGUUAGGGGAAAGGUAAGUAAAGGGAGAGAACACAAAAUGAAUCCCACUAGUCUGUGCAACUGGUAUGUGAUGGGUUUCUCUCCUCACUAAGAUUCCUGAUGCGUCACUAUGGCGUUGGCCACUGGAAGCCAUGUGCUAAGCCCCACCCUUCUUCCUCUGAGUCACAGUAGGACUUCCUACCUCCCUUUUUGUAAUAUCCUGUUUCCUUUUCCUACGCUCCCACCCAAUCUCGUUCUGCCAGGUCAGGCCGUCCAACCCCUGAACCCUGCCUCCAGCCUGGCCCUAUCUAGCCAUUGCUCUCCCAGCCAGGCCUUCAGAGGCUCCACAUCCCUCCUUCCUACUGUGGUCUUCUCCGUGACCACAAUAAAGGCAUUUUAUUCUGUUUUAUUUCUUUCUGCUCUGGAAAAACCUAUCAGUAUGCACUAAUAAUAAUUAAAUGAAGAGAAAUUGAGGCACCAGAUAUUGAGUAAUGUGUUCAAAUUCAUUCAGCAAACAUGACAAACUAGAAGUCUG